AUUGAACGCUGGCGGCAGGCCUAACACAUGCAAGUCGAGCGGAUGAAGGGAGCUUGCUCCUGGAUUCAGCGGCGGACGGGUGAGUAAUGCCUAGGAAUCUGUCUGGUAGUGGGGGAUAACGUCCGGAAACGGGCGCUAAUACCGCAUACGUCCUGAGGGAGAAAGUGGGGGAUCUUCGGACCUCACGCUAUCAUAUGAGCCUAGGUCGGAUUAGCUAGUUGGUGGGGUAAAGGCCUACCAAGGCGACGAUCCGUAACUGGUCUGAGAGGAUGAUCAGUCACACUGGAACUGAGACACGGUCCAGACUACUACGGGAGGCAGCAGUGGGGAAUAUUGGACAAUGGGCGAAAGCCUGAUCCAGCCAUGCCGCGUGUGUGAAGAAGGUCUUCGGAUUGUAAAGCACUUUAAGUUGGGAGGAAGGGCAGUAAGUUAAUACCUUGCUGUUUUGACGUUACCAACAGAAUAAGCACCGGCUAACUUCGUG
rnacentral:rRNA from 1 species